rnacentral:rRNA from 1 species
CUGAAUGAGGAGAAGUUUCAGAAAUACCUUAACCAUCUGAUCUCGGAAGCUAAGCAGGGUCGGGUCUGGUUGGUACUUGGAUGGGAGAAAUACCUUAACCAGUGUAUCUCAGGUAUUUGUUCAGU